GAGGGACCACCCUCCAAGGCUAAAUACUACCUAGUGACCGAUAGCGUAUAGUACCGUGAGGGAAAGGUGAAAAGAACCCCGGGAGGGGAGUGAAAUAGAACCUGAAACCCUGCACUUACAAGCUGUGGAAGCACAUUUCUUGUGUGACCGCGUACUUUUUGUAGAACGGGCCAACGAGUUACGUUAAGUAGCAAGGUUAAGCACUUAAGGUGUGGAGCCGUAGCGAAAGCGAGUUUUAACUGAGCGUUCAGUUACUUGACGUAGACCCGAAACCGGGCGACCUACCCAUGAGCAGGAUGAAGCGAAAGUAAAAUUUCGUGGAGGUCCGAACCCACGAGCGUUGAAAAGCUCGGGGAUGACUUGUGGGUAGCGGUGAAAUUCCAAUCGAGCCCGGAGAUAGCUGGUUCUCCCCGAAAUAGCUUUAGGGCUAGCCUCAAGGUGAGAGAUACGGAGGUAGAGCACUGAAUGUCCUAGGGGGUAUUGCACCUACCGAAGACUAUCAAACUCCGAAUGCCGUCAUCUUAUACUUGGGAGUCAGACUGUGGGUGAUAAGAUUCAUAGUCGAAAGGGCAACAGCCCAGAUCGUCAGCUAAGGUCCCUAAAUGUAAGUUAAGUGGUAAAGGAUGUGGGAUUGCACAGACAACCAGGAUGUUGGCUUAGAAGCAGCCACUCAUUCAAAGAGUGCGUAAUAGCUCACUGGUCGAGUGAUCCUGCGCCGAAGAUUUCCGGGGCUAAAACUUACUACCGAAGCUACGGCAUCAGUAAUGAUGGGUAGGGGAGCUUCCCAUACGGGUUGAAGCAUGACCGUAAGGACAUGUGGACAGUAUGGGAGUGAGAAUGUUGGCAUGAGUAGCGAGAUGUGGGUGAGAAUCCCACAGGCCGUAAACCCAAGGUUUCCAGGGGAAGGUUCGUCCGCCCUGGGUUAGUCGGGACCUAAGCUGAGGCCGAAAGGCGUAGGUGAUGGACAACAGGUUGAUAUUCCUGUACUACCGAUAACCGUUUGAGAGAAGGGAUGACACAGUAGGAUAAGCUAAGCACACUGUUGGUUAUGUGUGCCCAAGCAUUGAGGCAGUCAAAGUAGGCAAAUCCGCUUUGAUAAUGCUGGGAUGUGAUGGGGAGCGAAAUUUAGUAGCGAAGUAGCUGAUUUCACACUGUCAAGAAAAGUCUCUAUCGAGGUUAAAGGUACCCGUACCGCAAACCGACACAGGUGGGUGAGGAGAGUAUCCUAAGGCCAGCGAGAGAACUGUUGUUAAGGAACUCGGCAAAAUGACCCCGUAACUUAGGGAUAAGGGGUGCCACCAUCAGGUGGCCGCAGAGAAUAGGCCCAAGCGACUGUUUACCAAAAACAUAGGUUUCUGCUAAGUCGCAAGACGAUGUAUAGGAGCUGACGCCUGCCCGGUGCUGGAAGGUUAAGGGGAUCUGUUAGAGCAAUCGAAGCAGUGAACUUAAGCCCCAGUAAACGGCGGCCGUAACUAUAACGGUCCUAAGGUAGCGAAAUUCCUUGUCGGGUAAGUUCCGACCCGCACGAAAGGCG
rnacentral:rRNA from 1 species